AUGCUGUCACUCCCGCAGUUCCCGCGUGCCCCCGGCAGACAGAUGCACGGGGGGACCUCCAGCCCGGAAGCAGGGCCUAGAGAAGCCCCCCGAGGGCCGCCCCCAACCCAGGACCCUUUCCACACUCAGACCCACGCCCUGGGAUCUCUGGAGAAACGUGACGGGAACAAGGCCCCCCAGGUCCAUGGGGAUGUAGCCUGCGCUCCCUGGGGACCACAGAAGCACCCCUCAGGCGCUGUGGGGUCCAUCACCCUGCCCUCCAGCCCACCUCCAACCCAGGACCCCUUCCGGCCCCCCAGAACCAUCUACCUCGUUAGGAAAGGGGUGACCUACAUUAGGAUGCCAGGAGCACAGCAGCUCAGGCAGGCGUGGCCACUGCGGAAUAAAUUCACACCGUCUGGGAGGGAAGUCCCCACCCAGGUGGGAGAACGGGCAACGGAAACGAGUGAGGUGGCGGUCUCGGGGCUCCAAGCCCCACAGCCUGUGGGCAUUUCUGUCCCAGUCCCAGGGACAGGGACACAGAGAGGAGGGUGGACCCAGCGGGGUCCCCAGCCUCCUUCGCUGGGCUCUGCUGAGAGAAUCAGGAUAGAGGAUGGGGCUGAGGAGCUGCAGGCCGAGCGACGCCUCCCCAGGAUAGGAACACGGGCUCUGGGCCCCAGCCCUCUGCUACUCCAGCGUGGUCCACGGGCCAGCAGCAGCAGCCCCACCAGGAGCUUCCCAGACCCGGCCCAGGCCGACGGGGUCAGGAUCUGCCUCUUAACGUACCUGGUCACGUUCGAGAAGCCCUGGGCCAGGUCACUUCUCUCCCAGAAGCGCAGACCCCGGCACCUCCCAGGAGGCCGCGGCGGGGGAUGGCCGGGGCCGGGGCAGCCGGGGGCGGCGGCGAUGGGGGAUGCUGGCGGUAACAGCUCUGCAGGAGGGCUCCGCAUGGGGGGAAACCAUGCCCGCGGGGAAACACCUGUGUAUGGUUCCCAGUCCCCGCAACAACUGUCUGGGGUUAGAAGCACUGUUGACACCAUUUUGCGGAUGGGGACACGGAGACUGGGGACAGGUAGUAACUUGCCUAAGGGCAGGCAGUGGGAGGGUGCAGCCAGGGCCCAGCCGGCCUGGCGACAGAGCUACUGA
rnacentral:lncRNA from 1 species